GUUUUGGUAAAUAUUCUAAAGGCACUAGAUCCCAUCUGAUCUUGGGAGCUAAGUCGGAUCAGCUCUGAUUAGUACUUGGAUGGGAGACCACCAAAGAAUACCAUGUGCUCUAGGUU
rnacentral:rRNA from 1 species